rnacentral:rRNA from 1 species
ACUCCUACGGGAGGCAGCAGUGGGGAAUAUUGCACAAUGGGGGAAACCCUGAUGCAGCCAUGCCGCGUGUGUGAAGAAGGCCUUCGGGUUGUAAAGCACUUUCAGUAGGGAGGAAGGUAGUGUAGUUAACACCUGCAUUAUUUGACGUUACCUACAGAAGAAGCACCGGCUAACUCCGUGCCAGCAGCCGCGGUAAGUACGGAGGGUGCGAGCGUUAAUCGGAAUUACGUGGGCGUAAAGCGCAUGCAGGCGGCCUGUUAAGUCAGAUGUGAAAGCCCGGGGUCUUAACCUCGGAAUUGCAUUUGAAACUGGCAGGCUAGAGUCUUGUAGAGGGGUUAGAAUUUCAGGUGUAGCGGUGAAAUGCGUAGAGAUCUGAAGGAAUACCGAGUGGCGAAGGCGGCCCCGUGGACAAAGACUGACGCUCAGAUGCGAAAGCGUGGGAGCAAACAGGAUUAGAU